UCUUACGCAUUAGCAAAGAAAGUGGCUUCUUGAGCAGGAACCUACUCCUGGUGAAGAUGCUGUGAG
rnacentral:pre_miRNA from 1 species